rnacentral:rRNA from 1 species
ACGGGUGAGUAACGCGUGGGAAUCUACCCCAAACUGAGGGAUAAGCAUUGGAAACGAUGUCUAAUACCGCAUAUGGUCUUCGGAUUAAAGCUUCGGCGGUUUGGGAAAGAGCCCGCGUAAGAUUAGCUAGUUGGUGAGGUAAAGGCUCACCAAGGGCGACGAUCUUUAACUGGUUUGAGAGGAUGAUCAGUCACACUGGAACUGAGACACGGUCCAGACUCCUACGGGAGGCAGCAGUUAGGAAUUUUCCACAAUGGGCGAAAGCCUGAUGGAGCAAUGCCGCGUGCAGGAUGAAGGCCCUAGGGUUGUAAACUGCUUUUAUACGUGAAGAAUAUGACGGUAACGUAUGAAUAAGGAUCGGCUAACUCCGUG